rnacentral:rRNA from 1 species
GACGAACGCUGGCGGCGUGCUUAACACAUGCAAGUCGAACGGAAAGGCCCUGCUUUUGUGGUGUGCUCGAGUGGCGAACGGGUGAGUAACACGUGAGUAACCUGCCCUUGACUUUGGGAUAACUUCAGGAAACUGGGGCUAAUACCGGAUAGGAGCUCCUGCUGCAUGGUGGGGGUUGGAAAGUUUCGGCGGUUGGGGAUGGACUCGCGGCUUAUCAGCUUGUUGGUGGGGUAGUGGCUUACCAAGGCUUUGACGGGUAGCCGGCCUGAGAGGGUGACCGGCAACAUUGGGACUGAGAUACGGCCCAGACUCCUACGGGAGGCAGCAGUGGGGAAUAUUGCACAAUGGGCGGAAGCCUGAUGCAGCAACGCCGCGUGCGGGAUGACGGCCUUCGUGUUGUAAACCGCUUUCGCCUGUGACGAAGCGUGAGUGACGGUAAUGGGUAAAGAAGCACCGGCUAACUACGUG